UGAUUGAUAGCUCGGUCGGUAGAGCACGAGACUCUUAAGCGGAGGAUUGUGGGUUCGAGCCCCACGUUGGGCAA